GGGAGGCUGAGGAGGGCGGAUCACGAGGUCAGGAUCCUGGCUAACACGAUGAAACCCUGUCUCUACUAAAAAUACAAAAAAUUAAAUGGACGUGGUGGCGGGCGCCUGUAGUCCCAGCUACUCCGGAGGCUGAGGCAGGAGAAUGGCGUGAACCCGGGAGGUGGAGCUUGCAGUGAGCCGAGAUCGCGCACUGCACUCCAGCCUGGGUGACAGAGCUAGACUCCGUCCCAAAUAAUAAUAAUAAAAAUAAAAGAAAAUAAAAUAAAAAAUAAAAAAAGUGACCAGGACUUAAACCUGUUACAUGUUUUUAAACUAUGUUUGGGGUGUGGAAAAGUGAAAUCAACAGGAUUAGAGGAUAUCUUUUCCAAGGGAAAUUUUCAAUUUCUCACAUUAGCAUUUGUCUUGAAACUCUUUGAUUUCUUGCUUUUCAUGGAUUCUGUAGGGAAACCCUUUGGCUCCUUUAGUAAAAUAGUAGUGUGAAUCUGCAGUUUUUGUAAUGAAGGGAGAAUCUUCUCAUGGGAAGAGGUAACUCUACAGAUGAUCCUUAACUCUCUUGGGAACUUUCUCUGCAUGAUACUGGUUUCAGGGGGAUGCUAAUUUCUUUUUCCCCAUUCUGGAAAGUGUGGACAUACUUUCCUUAAUUUCUUUUUGAAUAGUUGAGAAGAUCAUGGCUUAAUGUUUAAUAAAGUCUUUACUUGAGGUCAGGGCAAACUUAAGCAAGAGAGCCAACAUAGAAAGUAACAUGCAAUAAAAAAUUCUGGUUGUCUGGUGUAUCUGGGUCUUGACUCUUAACUCAACAUACCCGUGAAAGGGCUGUUUUACUGACUAGCUGGAAGGGACCACUCCACAUGCGUCCCAGACCUACUUAGUGGCUCAGAAGCAGCUCUUUUUGCCAUACCUUCUGGAGUGUCUUCAAACCUGCCUAAGCUUCGUGAAGUACCACACCAGGACAGCAACAGCAAGUCACAUGGAGGAAUAGAAGGCCCAUGUCCUUCCGUCCCAGACUUGCUCUGCAGAUGCUGGCUUUCUGUCUGGGGUCUUGUUUGUUCCUGAAGUGACUGACACAGGAAUGCCCACUGCCUGAGAGGGGAGAUGCCACCAUUUCCCCAACAACUUGUAGAAGUGUUGUUUUAUGUGGUUUCAACAGAAAAAUUACAGCAGAAUCACCAUAAUUCACAGUUUCAAAAGAGGCACA
rnacentral:lncRNA from 10 species